rnacentral:rRNA from 1 species
ACUCAAGUGUGAUUACCCGCUGAACUUAAGCAUAU